UAUGUGCUGCAGGCAGUGCUUCCGUAGCAAUGGCAAGGAAAUUGGCUUCAUUAAGUAUCGCUAAAAGAGCUGAUGUUUCAACUCAACCAAUUUUAUGUUCUGGCACUAGGAUGUUUUAAGGAAGUUAUGUUUGAAGAAAAUUGAGACUUGUUUUUUUGCAUCUAAUUAAUUAUCAGACAUUAUUUGUUGAAUGAAAUAUACUUUUAUAUAAA